UACGAAGGGGGCUAGCGUUGUUCGGAUUUACUGGGCGUAAAGCGCACGUAGGCGGUUUGUUAAGUGAGAGGUGAAAUCCCAGAGCUCAACUCUGGAACUGCCUUUCAUACUGGCAAGCUAGAGUCCGGAAGAGGUAAGUGGAACUCCUAGUGUAGAGGUGGAAUUCGUAGAUAUUAGGAAGAACACCAGUGGCGAAGGCGGCUACUGGUCCGGAACUGACGCUGAGGUGCGAAAGCGUGGGGAGCAAACAGG
rnacentral:rRNA from 1 species